rnacentral:rRNA from 1 species
GACGAACGCUGGCGGCGUGCCUAAUACAUGCAAGUAGAACGCUGAAGAGAGGAGCUUGCUCUUCUUGGAUGAGUUGCGAACGGGUGAGUAACGCGUAGGUAACCUGCCUUGUAGCGGGGGAUAACUAUUGGAAACGAUAGCUAAUACCGCAAAACAAUGGAUGACACAUGUCAUUUAUUUGAAAGGGGCAAUUGCUCCACUACAAGAUGGACCUGCGUUGUAUUAGCUAGUAGGUGAGGUAAUGGCUCACCUAGGCGACGAUACAUAGCCGACCUGAGAGGGUGAUCGGCCACACUGGGACUGAGACACGGCCCAGACUCCUACGGGAGGCAGCAGUAGGGAAUCUUCGGCAAUGGGGGCAACCCUGACCGAGCAACGCCGCGUGAGUGAAGAAGGUUUUCGGAUCGUAAAGCUCUGUUGUAAGUCAAGAACGGGUGUGAGAGUGGAAAGUUCACACUGUGACGGUAGCUUACCAGAAAGGGACGGCUAACUACGUG